rnacentral:rRNA from 1 species
GAUGAACGCUGGCGGCGUGCCUAAUACAUGCAAGUCGAGCGAAUGGAUUAAGAGCUUGCUCUUAUGAAGUUAGCGGCGGACGGGUGAGUAACACGUGAGUAACCUGCCCAUAAGACUGGGAUAACUCCGGGAAACCGGGGCUAAUACCGGAUAACAUUUUGAACCGCAUGGUUCGAAAUUGAAAGGCGGCUUCGGCUGUCACUUAUGGAUGGCCCCGCGUCGCAUUAGCUAGUUGGUGAGGUAACGGCUCACCAAGGCAACGAUGCGUAGCCGACCUGAGAGGGUGAUCGGCCACACUGGGACUGAGACACGGCCCAGACUCCUACGGGAGGCAGCAGUAGGGAAUCUUCCGCAAUGGACGAAAGUCUGACGGAGCAACGCCGCGUGAGUGAUGAAGGCUUUCGGGUCGUAAAACUCUGUUGUUAGGGAAGAACAAGUGCUAGUUGAAUAAGCUGACACCUUGACGGUACCUAACCAGAAAGCCACGGCUAACUACGUGCCAGCCGCCGCGGUAA